AGUGUAGCAUGAACAGGUGCGCUGGCUUUCAAACUAGGUAGACGGGUGUCGGUCGCAAUCUUGACUGAAAGAGACUGAGUGCCAUAAAUAGCCGUUGGAUGCAUCUAUAUGUAGGUUCCUCGUUCUGCAUGGUACGAUGUUAGCUCCAGAAGUCUAAUUACCAAGUAUUUUCAGCGGUCGUUGCUUUUGUGCAAGCAGACCGUGACUGGAAUUAGUAGCUCUUGAGUUCUAACUGAUGAGCUCUUGUCUCCGGACAACCUCCUAGACUCCAGCAGCCUUGCCAUACCUUCCUCUCCGGCAGCUCUGUUACCCCAAGCUCCACCAUCAGCAGCCGACUCCACGCUAAGAAUUGGCGCUUACAGUCCAUGCUGCUUCCCGCCAUGUGAUAAAGCAGGUGUCAUACGAAACAACACCACCAUCACUUGCUUCAUAGACUCAUAUAUAGAGAGAUAUUGCUGUGAAUUUCAGCUCAACAGCAACCAUGGAAACCUCAGUACCGGAUGAACGGCAAGCACUGCUGGACCAAGGUGAUCGUGAACUGACGCGGUCAUCGAAGAGCUGUCAACAACAACAACGACAACCUGUCAAGAUGAACGGAGCAGAGGACAAACAUUUGGUUGGUGAUUCCCACGAUGAAACAUUGUCUGUUGGAAAAUUUACUGUAUCUGGAGGUGCUGUCAUGGACAGAGAUGAGGGAACUGUCACCCCAGGGCAGCUAGGCAGUCCCCACCAAGGACAGGGAGAGGAGCUGCACUCAGGAUUUGAUAAUUCAAUCCUGUUACCUCAGCUGGAGAUUGCCAUCUACCUGCGUGACCAGACUGUUAUACAUGUGACCAUGGAAGAGGGACAGCAGGCCAGGGCUGAGGACCUGAUUGAGGUCGUCCUCACCGAGCAGAAACUUCCCCCAGAGGCUAGGACCAUGUUCUGUCUAUGGCUGGUCUCACCUCUCCUCGAGCUGCGCCUCAAGCCCCAUCACAAACCCUUCUUCCUGGUGUCUCAGUGGGCAGAUCUGUGUGAUAAGUACACAGAGGAGGAUGCUGAUGACAUUGCUAAAGAUGAGCCAAUGUUGAUGUUUCAAAGAGAUGUCUUUUUUCCACGACAACAGGAAGCACAGGUGAGGGAUAGGGAGACCCUGCUGUACCUGUAUCAGGAGGCCAAGUUUAAUGUACUGGAGGGGCGCUAUGUGGUCAGCCCGGAGGAUUACCAUCGUUUGGCAGGAAUAUCAGCGGUCAUACACCUGGGACGGUUCGACAGGAAAAGUCAUAUUUCAGCAUUCUACAGGUCCUCUCUGGAGCAGUUCUACCCAGACUUCAUGUUAAAGAAAAAGUGGUCAUUCUCAGGGCUGUGGUCUAAGAAUUCAGACGAUGGGCUUUCCUCUCAUCUUGAGGCUGCUCAUACAAGGGUAUCAGAUCAGUACCAGAGCGGAGAGCUGCAUCAGGUCUUACCUGAACUGUACAGAGCCUACCUCAACAUCCUGUACAAGUACCCGUUUUAUGGAGGAGCAUUUUUCACCGGUGACAUUGACAGAACAAGCCGAUUGCAGUUUCUAAAGGGAUUCCAAGAUAAGCCUGUGUGGAUUUCUAUCUCAACUGAUGGGGUGACAGUCAUUGAUCGCGAAAAGAACGAGGUUCUGCUAGCUCUCCCAUACGAGACUUUCUCCUGGCAGUACAAAGAGGCUAAGAAGGUGGAUGAUCCCCCCAUCCUUUACCUACAGUUUGUCUGUCCUGAAUCUGCACACAACACCAAGCUGCUCAUUGUCGACUCCUACCAGGCAAAGUUGAUGGAUGCCCUGAUAGAGACUUGUGUCAACCUAAAGAUACAGAAGUACAACACCCCAGCUGAGGAUACUGUGGAUUCCACUCUCCCAAGUCCUUCAUCAGAAAACACCAUAGACCCCUUCAGGACCUGUGCUAACAAACUGGAUCGCUUGUGUCUGGAGACCCUCACCCCUGAGGGGGAGAAAGUUUGAGAAAAAGGAUUUUCGUGGUUAUCUCCCCCUGAUAAAGAAUCUUGUUUUCUGCUGAGAUUUGCAGACAUCACUGUAGCACAAAUCUGUGUUUCUGUGUGUGUAAAUGCAGUAUGUUGUAUUCAUAACAGGGCUUAUUACCUGAAGUUAGUAACAAUUACUUGAUUUUGGUUCUACAUAUCACACGGGUGAUAAGCCACAGUUACAUUGUAGGUAGGUCUACGAAUAUUCAAGCACAAUAGGCACAGUGGUAAAAUUUGAAUGUUACAUUCCAACUUGCUGUGAACAUAAUGAUCACUGCUGCACAUACGUGUAUUCACGUUGGUCAUUGUGUAUUUCAAGGUGACCAUCACAGCCUUCUGUUGAUGUGACAAGGUGACCAUGACAAGGUGACCAUCACCGCCUUCUGUUGGUGUGACAAGCAUCUUUGUAUGUGGCUGUGCUUCUUAAAAAUAUCUACUUUAACGAAGUGUCUAUUUUUCCCAAAGUUUUAAAAUGUUUUUAUGAGUAAUAUAAUAAGGUAUACAUAACAAAGUAUGUAAUCUGGUAUAGCGAGUUUGUGAAUGGGAAUCCAGAAUAGCGGGUAUAAAUGUGACUAAUGCUACUAACUUAACCUUCGUGUGGCUUCCAACUUCCAAGGAUGAAGGCUUAUUGUAGAUGUAGAUUUUAACACGUCAUGGUUAAUCAUUAUCAAAGAUUGCUUUUUUUACAAAUAUUGUCAGAUGUUAUAUUCUCGCAAGUUGAUUUUAGUUGUACUUGUAUGCAGUUAUUAUAGAUGUAAUUGCUUAUGAUUUGAUUGACGUGAGUAAUGUUAUUUUGUGCAUAUGUAAUAAGUUGUCAGGAAUAUAAAACUGCUUGAUCUCUGUCGUCUGGAAAGAGGAAAUAUAUUGAUUAUGGGUAUGUCAUUUGAAACCAUUCCAAGGCCAGGGAAAAUAUUUUUAAAAGUUGAAAAAUUGUAGAAAUUCCACGACAUUUUCAAGUAAUGAUUCUGGCAUAUCAAUCUUGUUAUCGCCAUGAUGGAUCCUUAAAGUAAAAGAAAGCUAAAAUAUGAAGUGAGGUUCAUCAUACAGACAAUUGUAAAGUAUGCAUCAAUGUACUUUUUUUUUCAGAUUUUUGCAUAGAGAGUUAAAGCUAUUUGAACCUUUGAAUUCUAAGGUGGGGUUUAUGUACUGUACUAUCAGAGUUUAGGAAUUCUGAUGUCUCUGGAAGUUUUUCCAACUUUGAUUCACAACACCGAAUGUUGUAAUAACUCUUUAACCCAAGAGUAAAAGAUUACUGAAAUAAUGCUCUCAAAAAUUCAUUCCUUCUGAACAUGAGGAAAAAAAGGUGAUGUGACGUCAUAGUUCCUAAAUACCGUCAGUAUGGCUCAUAAAGCCCACCACAGAAUUCAUGUCAUGCCUGUCAACACGCUUAAAAAAAUCUAAAAAAAAUUAAUGAAAGUAUUUUUACACAUAGUUAACAGUUGUCUGCAUGAUGAACCUUACUUCAUAUUUUAGCUUUCUUUCCCUUUAAGGAAAAGACACCACCACCAAGUGUAUAUACCAGUAUGUAUGGAUAAAGUAUCCCAUAUCACAGUUCAAGGUAGGCAAAUCAAUCACGGUGAGAAAAUUGAAACAAUCCCAUGUUACCAGUUUUCACUUUUAACUUAUCAGGAGCGAGUUAAGUCUAUAACCUGAGAACGUAGCUGUUUCCACUGACGUCACCCUAGUCUUAUUUUGCCUUUUAGCCAUGUGCGUAGGGUAUGAGUAACACAAGGUUGUGUAUCCGGUUUCUAUAACAUGGCGUAUCCCAUGACUUCGUAAGAAUUCCAGAAGUUGAUUUGUUGAGUUACCAAGCAUGCAGGAACAAAAUGACUGUGUUAGUUAAGACCUGUUUCCACCCCUCUUCUGCAAUAACUACACUUAUAUCAUUUGUUGUCUUUUCCUUUUAGUAUAAAAUAUCAUACUUUGUUAUUUCAAUAUUCAGAGCUACUAUUGGCUUAUUCCAUGCUCUGAUCUUUGUCAGUCCAUCAGUAUUGUAUACACACUAUAGUAGGGCACAUUUAUGUUUAUAGAAAGUCAUAUUUUAUACUACAUGAGUUUAUUUCAGCAGUAUAUUUGUCUUGCAGUGAAGCUCAGGUUUAUAUUACAUGUACAGUAUUUUCAGAAUUUUUCAUUUUUCAAAUACAUGUGAAUUUCAUUUCUUAAUUUCACAGUACCCAUAUUUAUAACAAAGGACAGCUGGCCAAAUAUUCAUUAGAGAGAUCAGUUUAUUGUAUGUAAAUGUUCAGUUCAGUUUCUCUGUAUGCACUAAUGUUCCGAAGAAAAUCAUAUACUGCUGCUAUUUUAUAUCUUUUUUUGAUCAAUAUUUUAACAAAUCUUCAAAAUGUGUUAAAAUUGCAAGAAUUUGCAUAUUGCUUCAGAUAUUUGGGUUGAACCCAAAUUUGGCCCCUUUCCAGUAUUAUAAAUUUCAAAAAUGAUUAAUACUUUGAACAUGUACUUCUGUAACAUUUAAUGUGUAUGUGUUUCUUUCCUUUUUGGUCAUAUUGGGCUGGAGCUGGCUUCACAGUAUAAAUAGAACUUUUUCUGUUUUACAACUAACACAACGAUGACUUUGUCACUUACCGUUUGUUUAUUUCAUUUUCGCGGUAGUGAAGAAUAUUUAUGAUGGUGGCCAGCAUAAUGGUGGACUCACUGUGACCACAUUGCCUAGAUGCUUCAGACUAAUUGUGCUAUGCUAGUACACAAACUACACAAACAUGAAACACCCCCCCCCCCACCCCAACUCACAGUUUAUGUGGUCAAGUUAGCUUCCAUCAGUACUGUACUACCGAUUUAGUUAUUAAUAACAAAACAAAAACUGUUCUUUACUAUAGCUUAUAGAUGUACAUGUGUACAUAUAAUUUUGUAUAGAUAUUUACGCUGCAAUAUAAUGGCUUUAGAUUUUUAACACGUUUUAAUCAGCUGCCUGAUAAUAACGUUUAAAUUUUGAACACAGCUUCUCAAUUUUUGUUCCAUUUUUGCCAGAUUCAAAGCUAAUUACCUAAAAACAGUGAAAUUGGAAACAUUGUUGUAAUAGAGUAUUGCCUACAGUUUUUAACUUUUCCAAUGUUUUACAGAUUUUGUGUAAUUUCCUUAUGUUCACUGUCAGCAGCCUUGAAUUACAUAUCAGGCAGUGUUUCUAAACAUUCCCCAUAACAAUUAUAACCAGGGGAAGAGGCAUAGCAGCAGUAAAAUCUCUUGCACAUUUAUUUAAAACAAAGAAAGUGUGUAUAUGUUUCAGAUGUUUAGUUUUGUGACAGCUUUCCCUCAUUUACAUUUGAUCUCAUUUAUGAAUAUAAUGGACCAUUUUAUAGAUUUUUAUCACUUUGUUGUAAAGUUGCUGGUUGUGACUUAAAAUUGCUAAUAAAUCAUUAAUACCAUUAGCCACACUUGUGUUCCCUUUCAUUUAUAAUUGGACACUUACUAUAUUGAUUGUCCCAUCCCCUUCUUGUGUGACUUUCAUGCCCUAGCAUUGAAGCCAUGGUAUCCUUGGUUGUCUCGUAUUACCUCUGUGAAAUUUCAUCUACUUUAAUUAGUCCUACGCAAGUAGUGUCUUGCUAAUGGGUGGUUUCCUUUCAGUUACAAAACUGCUAUUGUUUGGAUGAAAUACUCUGUAGAAUCUUAAACAGUUCCAGUC